UUUUUGGUGUCUUUGCUAGUAUGGACCCACACCAAUCCAUCUCGAACUUGGUUGUGAAACAUACUAGGAGUGACAAUACUUAAGCCGUGAGGCUUUGGAAAGAUAGCUUGAUGCCAGAAAA
rnacentral:rRNA from 1 species